UUCAGAUUGAGCUGUUUCACAUUCUACCGCUCUAUUUGCACAUCGACAUGAGCCCACAAGUAGAAUGCAAGAAAAAAACUCCCUUUAACAGUGAAGACAUUUCUGGAUUACCCACAAAGACAUAUAAGAAGAAUAAUCAAUUUAAAUGAGUUUUUUGGAAAUACAAAAAUGUAGCCUGGAGUUUUCUGAAUGCUUCUUUGCGUUAGUUAAAUCUGAAGCAAAUGUCACUAAACAUUAUUGUAUAAAUGGGCGUCAUGGCGGCACCAUUCAGUUACCUAAGAGAGAGAAACUGUAAUGGUUCUAUGCAGACAUAGAUCUGGAUUAUUGGAUAAAGAAUUAAAAUAUGGACACUCUGUGGAAACGCCUGGAUAGCUUCACAGGAAGACAAGAAGUUGACUCUGUGUGCAAUAAAUGAAUUGCCGAUAUAUUGUGAAACAAAAGGAUUUUAAAGGGGCCGAAACCUUCUCACCUGACACGGUGGACUUGUCCGGCUCCGGGAAACUGGCGACCCUUUUGGGCAGCUAAUCGAACUGGCAGGACGUGAAUGAAAAUUGGGGACUGUGGCACAGACUCGGCGUGGUUGCACGAUCUGAGCUAGGAGAUCGAAAAGGAGUCAGAGGAUGGAUCGGUUUUAUUGUACAUUACAGCCGCGGUCCGCUUUGCGUGUAAGACGGCAGGAGAACAGCCCACCAUCGACAAGUAGCCUGAUAUUCACGGUGGCUGGACCAAGCUUCAGGACUGCCGAUGAUGAGUCGAGGACUCGGCUGUCUGAAUGUAAGGAUGUAAGAUCUGCUUUUCACUGUAACUCUGCGGCCGAGCCUCCUCUCCAGCUUCCCAGGUAUCCUUCAUUAUGAACGAGCCUCAAACCUCCUUCCUGAUAAUUAAAAUCUAAUUUUCCUUUCCCAUUUGUCCGAAUCUAACCCUAUUAAGCUGAGGUGUAACUAAGGAUGCAGCACAUCAACUCCGCAAUGAAGGGUGAAUGUGUGAGUCUGCUUCCCCUUUUUGGGGGAUGAAAAACGGUCCCUGACUAAUGGCAACUGCAGAAAAGGAACAAAACACGAGGCGGAAAGUGGGAGAUGAAGAGCAGCAUCUGCACCGUGGCGUAGGAGUGAAAAAUCAAGUGAAGCACGCCAUCUGGGCACUGGGGAUGACGAAGACCCUUUGGCAGGCGGAUCCUCUCACAGAACCGGCAGACUCCUGGAGGCCUGGUGCGGCUGCCACCCAGUGAUCCAUUGUUGGAGCUUCCUUUGCUGCGCCUGACCUGAACUCGUGUGCGUUACCGAUGCAGCAUGUUGCUGCUGCCUUCACUUCCAUUAGCACUGCAGCCCCAAUCAGCUCUCAAUCUGUCCAUAUCUAUGCAUAAUUCCGCAGCUUUUGUCGCAUGUUAAGGAAACUCCCGCAGCAAUGGUGAGUGGAUGAAUGAAGAGAACCUAAUGUGAAAGAAUCAGUUUGCCUAAUUAAUCCGUAACACCAAAUACCUACUGUCCCUAAAAUGGGGGUUCUUUUAAAGGUCCUCUAGUUUUGACAAACAUCAGCUGUCACAUUUCUCAAGGGUAGCUCUCAGUCUUAGAAUCAGUGCUGUCUGUAUCUUGAUUGUUAGUUUAAAGCCACCAAAAUAUUCUCAUUUGCUCAUUUCUAAUGACUAAAUCAUCUGUAUUAUUGCAUAAAGGUCAUCAGAUGUAAAGGACGUCGUUUCUAACGCCCCUAUGUCGCGUGUGUAAUGGGCAAAUUUUCAAGCACCGAUUAUCAAGUGCUUGUGCGGCACAGUGUCCCUUAUAAGCCAUUCGGAUCUGAUGAGGUACUAUGACCUCAGCCGCAGAGGUGAUUAUGGGAAAUGGAUGAACCGAAAUCUCACUGGGGAAGCUUGCCAGCAGAAUUCCCCGUAUUGCUCGUUAUUGUCUGACGGAGGACACAAAUCAGGCAGGUUUUGCGUACAUAAGCAAUGCUGUUGACAAACCCAAACCAGUGUUGCCCAUUAACCCUUUCGUUUCCAUUUGCUUUGCAGAAUGCAGCAUGGCCAGAGGGCAACUUUGUCCUCAUGAGUUCUACAGAAGCUACAGAAAGUUUGAAUUUAACUCAAUGUAAGGAGAAUGCUACUACACAAUUCAGCCUUUGGGUCUUUAUGUCUGGCAACUAAAAGCCAUGGAUUUCAUGUUGGAAUGUAGACAUCACGAAUGAGAAGUACUAUUUAUUCAGUAUGUGUGUGUCCUACAAACAUCUCAUACUUGUAGCCAAUUCUGCCUAUAUGUAGAGCAAACCUUCUAUGCCGGAAUACAAAGUACUUAAUCACACUUAACUUGCCUUGAUUAGGAGAAACAAGACAUACAUGUACAGAAGUCUUGGGCAAAGAAAAUGAUUAAAUAAUUUUCAUAUUGGUCUAAAA